rnacentral:rRNA from 1 species
AGAGCUCAAAUUUUAAAUCUGGCGUCCUUCGGGCGUCCGAGUUGUAAUCUAGAGAAGCGUUUUCGCGCCGGACCUACCAUAAGUUACCUCGAACGGUGCAUCAUAGAGGGUGAGAAUCCCGUAUGUUGGUGGGUGCUCCGGUGCAUGUGAUGCGCUCUCGACGAGUCGAGUUGUUUGGGAAUGCAGCUCAAAACGGGAGGUAAAUUCCUUCUAAAGCUAAAUACGUUGGGAUGACCGAUAGCGAA